rnacentral:rRNA from 1 species
GACGAACGCUGGCGGCGUGCUUAACACAUGCAAGUCGAACGGUAAGGCCCUUCGGGGUACACGAGUGGCGAACGGGUGAGUAACACGUGGGUGAUCUGCCCUGCACUUCGGGAUAAGCCUGGGAAACUGGGUCUAAUACCGGAUAGGACUCCUGCCUGCAUGGGUGGGGGUGGAAAGCUUUUGCGGUGUGGGAUGGGCCCGCGGCCUAUCAGCUUGUUGGUGGGGUGAUUGACUACCAAGGCGACGACGGGUAGCCGGCCUGAGAGGGGGAGCAGCCACACUGGGACUGAGAUACGGCCCAGACUCCUACGGGAGGCAGAAAUGGGGAAUGUUACACAAUGGGAGCAAGCCUGAUGCAGCGGCGCCGCGUGGGGGAUGACGGCCUUCGGGUUGUAAACCUCUUUCAGCACAGACGAAGCGCAAGUGACGGUAUGUGCAGAAGAAGGACCGGCCAACUACGUGCCAGCCGCCGCAGUAA